CAAAUCUGGUGACCUGUCAAUAUAAUGUCAGUUCAUUCAUGUAUUCGCGACACAUGAUUACGUUCGAGUUCACUGCAGUUCUUGCACUCCUGCACAGGUUAUUUCAUAAUUAUCAUUGUAACUUGUCGCAAUAUUGUAAAAAUUGAUAAACAAUUUUCAAUAAAAACAGGAUAACCUGAGUCUUCAUGAAAGAAGAAUGCCACCUGCUGUAAUUUAGACUUGCAGUCGAUACGUUUACGAAUUACGAUAAAAUGAACCCAAAAAUAUUGUGGUCACGAAUGAAAUCAAAUAUUGGACUGGUAAAAAAACAAGAUGGGGAAUAACUGAGAUAUUCAGAAUUUGUUUAAAUUAUUGUACAUGAGUAUACAUGAUAAUUAUAUGUGUGGCUAACUAUGAUAUGAUAUGACUCGAAGGACCAGCUCUCUCGACUGAAAUGAUCAAUCUCGCGAGCAACAACAAAAUUGGCUAUAAUGGGUAGAUCACCUUAAUUAGUCGCAACGGAUGACCAAUUUUUCAUCAAAAAAAUGGGACACCAACAAGUCUUUAAUGUUAUGUUUAAUAA